ensembl:snRNA U6 U6 spliceosomal RNA
GUGCUCACUCCAGUAACACAUAUAUUAAAAUUGGACAAUACAGAGAAGAUUAGCACAGCCCCAUGCAAGGAUGACAUGCAAAUUCAGGUAAUGCUGCAUAUUUAA